GUCAUUUAAGCAGAAGGAAGGCCUUCCGUUGCUGAAGAGAGCCAACUCCGAGCCCCUCGUACACCGAUGGCAGUGAAGUGGUCUUCUAUUUGAUGAGAUUGUUUCCCGGCUUAUAAUUACCACCACUCCACACACAGUCCCUCAUCACUUUCCCCAUUUCUUUAAUCAUCUUGAUCAGAACCAUUUGGAGCAAAAAAAGGUAAAUAGGUAUGCUAUUCAAGAUGCUUAGAUGUAGCCCACAAUCGAAAUAUGUCGAAACAAACAGCUGAAGCAAGAAGAAUAAGGGGAGAGCUUUUGAAUAGAGUAGCUAAACACUUAUGACUUUUAAUUCUCUUUGUUGGUGUGAAAUGAGCAUACACCUCAUGAGUAUUUAGAGUGGAGAAGGAUGUUUCCUAAACUUUCUCCACAAGUUAGCAACUACUAACAAUUCUCCUUAACAAAAGACUAAUCAUUUUCCUAAACUUAUUCAAGUUAAUAACUCCUAAACAAUUAUCCUAAAAUUUCUCUAAGUUAAUAACUUUUUUUGCUAAGUCAAGCUUAUUAACUCACAAUAAUAAUCGAAAACAAA